rnacentral:rRNA from 1 species
CCUACGGGCGGCAGCAGUAGGGAAUCUUCCACAAUGGGCGAAAGCCUGAUGGAGCAACGCCGCGUGGGUGAAGAAGGUCUUCGGAUCGUAAAACCCUGUUGUUAGAGAAGAAAGUGCGUGAGAGUAACUGUUCACGUUUCGACGGUAUCUAACCAGAAAGCCACGGCUAACUACGUGCCAGCAGCCGCGGUAAUACGUGGGUGGCAAGCGUUAUCCGGAUUUAUUGGGCGUAAAGGGAACGCAGGCGGUCUUUUAAGUCUGAUUGGAAAGCCUUCGGCUUAACCGGAGUAGUGCAUUGGAAACUGGGAGACUUGAGUGCAGAAGAGGAGAGUGGAACUCCAUGUGUAGCGGUGAAAUGCGUAGAUAUAUGGAAGAACACCAGUGGCGAAAGCGGCUCUCUGGUCUGUAACUGACGCUGAGGUUCGAAAGCGUGGGUAGCAAACAGGAUUAGAUACCCGAGUAGUC